rnacentral:rRNA from 1 species
GAUGAACGCUGACAGAAUGCUUAACACAUGCAAGUCUUUGGCGAAGCUGUGCUUGCACAGCCUAGCCAAGGCGGACGGGUGAGUAACGCGUAAGGAACUUGCCCUGCAGUCAGGGAUAACAGACGGAAACGACUGAUAAGACCUGGUAAAGUCAGGCGGACUCAUGUCCAGCCUGAUGAAAAGUGAUGCUGCAGGAGGGCCUUGCGUCCUAUUAGCUUGUUGGUGGGGUAACGGCCCACCAAGGCGAUGAUAGGUAGCCGGCCUGAGAGGGUGGACGGCCACAAGGGGACUGAGAUACGGCCCUUACUCCUACGGGAGGAAGCAGUGGGGAAUAUUGGACAAUGGGGGCAACACUGAUCCAGCAAUUCUGUGUGCACGAUGAAGGUUUUCGGAUUGUAAAGUGCUUUCAGCAGGGAAGAAAAAAAUGACGGUACCUGCAGAAGAAGCGACGGCUAAAUACGUG